AUCCAUAACAAGUGAAAUUUUUAAAACUCUUCAUUUGCUUUUUUUCAGAAAGUGGUGCAGAUAGGACUACACAAUCUUUUCAAGGAAAUAUUAUUGUCAAGCUGCUUAUUUCUGUUCUAUUAUUUGAUUAAUGUCCGUCUACUAUUACACACCCAAAAAUUAUUAAUGAAUAAGACGUUUUGUUUUAGAUGGAAGAGAAGAGACAUUUUAAAACACCUGCUUUUAUUUUCUUAAGAUCAGAAAACUAAAGCUCAGAGAUUAAGUUCAGCCAGGAACACGGUGGAGAUAGCAGAGCUGGGUAUACUUCAAAGGACUUCUUUUAAAAGUGUUGGAUUUGAAUCCAGGCUGUUGAUUCUGUGGUGUUGGUUCCAAGACUUAAGGACAUUAGGAGUAUUAUACUUACGCGUCCUGAUGAUCACCUGAGAAAAUUAUAAGG